CAGCCGCGUAAUUCCAGCUCCAAUAGCGUAUAUUAAAGUUGUUGCAGUUAAAAAGCUCGUAGUUGAAUUUUGGAUUCUUCCAAUUGGUCCAUCUUUUAGAUGAGUACUGGUUGUGUGGGGUCUAUCCGCCUGGUGAUACGUAAUGUCCUUUAUUGGAUGUUGCGGGUAGUCAGGACCUUUACCUUGAAAAAAUUAGAGUGUUUAAAGCAGGCUUAUGCCGGAAUACAUUAGCAUGGAAUAAUAGAAUAGGACGAAGUUGUUUUAUUUUGUUGGUUUCUAGGACAACCGUAAUGAUUAAUAGGGAUAGUUGGGGGCAUUAGUAUUCAAUUGUCAGAGGUGAAAUUCUUGGAUUUAUUGAAGACUAACUACUGCGAAAGCAUUUGCCAAGGAUGUUUUCAUUAAUCAAGAACGAAAGUUAGGGGAUCGAAGACGAUCAGAUACCGUCGUAGUCUUAACCAUAAACUAUGCCGACUAGGGAUCGGGCGAUGUUGUUUCCAUGACUCGCUCGGCACCUUAUG
rnacentral:misc_RNA from 1 species